GACGUAGGGCGCGAGCGUUGUCCGGAUUUAUUGGGCGUAAAGAGCUCGUAGGCGGUUUGUCGCGUCUGCUGUGAAAAUCCGGGGCUCAACCCCGGACUUGCAGUGGGUACGGGCAGACUAGAGUGUGGUAGGGGAGACUGGAAUUCCUGGUGUAGCGGUGGAAUGCGCAGAUAUCAGGAGGAACACCGAUGGCGAAGGCAGGUCUCUGGGCCACUACUGACGCUGAGAAGCGAAAGCAUGGGGAGCGAACAGG
rnacentral:rRNA from 1 species